UUCAGCAUAGGGACCAACCCAAUCAAAGUAAACCCUUCUUCUGAACUCUUUCUUCGACCCCAGCUUUAGCGUUGUUUAGUUCUCUAUGGGGAGAUUAUCUUUUGGUACAGGAAGUAUUGUACACGUUCCUUGACCAUAUUUGAUACCACAUAUCCUCGGAGGAUUCCACAACUAAGGGGGAGAAUAUAUUUAGGGGGAGAAUAUAUGAAAGGGGGAAGAAAAAGUAAGUUAGCUUUCUUCUGCUGUCUACAACUAAGGGGGAGUAAACUACUCUUUAGUGGUGUACUACUGAGGGGAGAUUCAUCUUUCAACUAAGGAGGAGGAUUGAUCUUUCAUCUAAGGAAGAUAGCUACUUAUAACUAAGGGGAACCUGAUCAAGGUAACGGGAGGAGAAGUAUAAGGUGAUACAUCUAUUCUUC
rnacentral:lncRNA from 1 species